AAAAUUGCGCAGUGGCAGUAUCGUAGCCAAUGAGGUUUAUCCGAGGCGCGAUUAUUGCUAAUUGAAAUAUGCGUCGUUUCAGACUUGGCUGUGGCGCUGACUUCCCUCCCAAAAGAAGAGAGUUGUGUGCCAUCUUGUGGUG